GAUUGCCCCAGUAACGGCGAGUGAAGCGGCAACAGCUCAAAUUUGAAAUCUGGCCCCCAGGGCCCGAGUUGUAAUUUGCAGAGGAUGCUUUUGGUGAGGCACCUACCGAGUCCCCUGGAAUGGGGCGCCACAGAGGGUGAGAGCCCCGUAUGGUAGGACGCCGAACCUCUGUAAAGCUCCUUCGACGAGUCGAGUAGUUUGGGAAUGCUGCUCUAAAUGGGAGGUAAAUUUCUUCUAAAGCUAAAUACCGGCCAGAGACCGAUAGCGCACAAGUAGAGUGAUCGAAAGAUGAAAAGCACUUUGAAAAGAGGGUUAAAAAGUACGUGAAAUUGUUGAAAGGGAAGCGCUUGUGACCAGACUUGCGCCUGGCGGAUCAUCCAGCGUUCUCGCUGGUGCACUCCGCCAGGCUCAGGCCAGCAUCGGUUCUCGCCGGGGGACAAAGGCUUCGGGAACGUGGCUCCUUUCGGGGAGUGUUAUAGCCCGUUGCGUAAUACCCCGGCGGGGACCGACGACCGCGCUUCGGCAAGGAUGCUGGCGUAAUGGUCAUCAGCGACCCGUCUUGAAACACGGACCGAGGAGUCAAGCAUUAGUGCGAGUGUUUGGGUGUAAAACCCGCACGCGUAAUGAAAGUGAACGUAGGUGAGAGCUUCGGCGCAUCAUCGACCGAUCCUGAUGUUUUCGGAAGGAUUUGAGUAGGAGCAUUAACGCUUGGACCCGAAAGAUGGUGAACUAUACUUGAAUAGGGUGAAGCCAGAGGAAACUCUGGUGGAGGCUCGCAGCGGUUCUGACGUGCAAAUCGAUCGUCAAAUUUGAGUAUAGGGGCGAAAGACUAAUCGAACCAUCUAGUAGCUGGU
rnacentral:rRNA from 1 species